CUCAUAGCGUAUAUUUAAGUUGUUGCAGUUAAAAAGCUCGUAGUCGGAUUUUGGCUGAGAACGAACGGUCCGCCGUUAGGUGUGCACUGUUUGGUCUCAGCUUCCUGGUGAGGAGGUGUGCUUCACGGCCACUUAGUCACCGUGGUUACUUUGAAAAAAUUAGAGUGUUCAAAGCGGGCUUACGCUUGAAUAUAUUAGCAUGGAAUAACACCAUAGGGCUCCUGUCCUAUUUCGUUGGUCUCGGGACGGGAGUAAUGAUUAAGAGGAACAGUCGGGGGCAUUCGUAUUUCAUUGUCAGAGGUGAAAUUCUUGGAUUUAUGAAAGACGAACUUCUGCGAAAGCAUUUGCCAAGGAUGUUUUCAUUGAUCAAGAACGAAAGUUGGGGGCUCGAAGAUGAUUAGAUACCAUCCUAGUCUCAACCAUAAACGAUGCCGACUAGGGAUUGGCGGAUGUUAAUUGAUGACUUCGCCAGCACCUUAUGAGAAAUCAAAGUUUUUGGGUUCCGGGGGGAGUAUGGUCGCAAGGCUGAAACUUAAAGGAAUUGACGGAGGGGCACCACCAGGCGUGGAGCCUGCGGCUUAAUUUGACUCAACACGGGGAAACUUAC
rnacentral:rRNA from 1 species